rnacentral:tRNA from 1 species
GGGUCCUUAGCUCAGCCAGGUAGUAUAAAUUCCUAGAGCACCGGACUUUUAAUCCGGUGGCCAGGGGUCCGACUUCCGAUGGAAAUCCCCUAGGACCCG